AUGAAACAUAGGAACGAUCUUGCGAAGGUCAUCACCAACAUCGUCGCAGGCGGUGCCACCAGGUUCAUCACCGAACUCAGCAGAACAACCAUUUCUUCUUCUAGCUCUUCCCGCUACUCUGAUCUUUCUUUUGAAAAUAAAAUUUCACCUUCUUUUUUUCUUGUUGCAUAGAUAAAAAAUUCAGAGAUAUAUAGGAUGAGAUAAUCAAAGCGUUGAAGAAAGUAAGAGGGUUUUAGUAGAAAAACGUAAAAAUGAUACAUA